AUUGAACGCUGGCGGCAUGCCUUACACAUGCAAGUCGAACGGCAGCGCGGGGGCAACCCUGGCGGCGAGUGGCGAACGGGUGAGUAAUAUAUCGGAACGUACCCAAGAGUGGGGGAUAACGUAGCGAAAGUUACGCUAAUACCGCAUACGAUCUAAGGAUGAAAGUGGGGGACCGCAAGGCCUCACGCUCCUGGAGCGGCCGAUAUCUGAUUAGCUAGUUGGUGGGGUAAAGGCCUACCAAGGCAUCGAUCAGUAGCUGGCCUGAGAGGACGACCAGCCACACUGGGACUGAGACACGGCCCAGACUCCUACGGGAGGCAGCAGUGGGGAAUUUUGGACAAUGGGGGCAACCCUGAUCCAGCAAUGCCGCGUGAGUGAAGAAGGCCUGGU
rnacentral:rRNA from 1 species